CACGUAGUUAGCCGUGGCUUAUUCGCAGGGUACCGUCAUCAUCUCCCCCUGCAAAAGGGCUUUACAACCCGAAGGCCUUCAUCGCCCACGCGGCGUUGCUGGGUCAGGCUUUCGCCCAUUCCCAAGAUUCCUAG
rnacentral:rRNA from 1 species